GCCAGCAGCAUAUCACCCUGCAACUCACACCUGGCAACCCACUGAAGCUAAGCAGGUGUGAGCCUGGUCAGUACCUGGAUGGGAGACCUCCUGGGAAAAACUAAGGUUGCUGCUGAAG
ensembl:rRNA 5S_rRNA 5S ribosomal RNA